rnacentral:snoRNA from 1 species
CUUUAUUGAUGACCUCUCAUUUGUGUCACUGUGUCUGGGUCAUAGAAGCCUUUUGAUGGAGCCUAAGAGAUAAAAUUCUAAGAUUUAAAG